AGUCAACCUCCCGUGGUCCGCCGCGGGGGCGCAGGGAACCCGGUGCGAAUCCGGGACUGACGCGCAGCGGUAAGGGUGACGGGCGGGGCCCUGUCUCACGACAGCCACUGGACCGCGAGGUCCGGGAAGGCGUCCCGCACCGAGUGAUCCCGAGUCCGAAGACCUGCUGGCCCUUGCGGCAACAG
rnacentral:ncRNA from 2 species